AUCCGAAUAGUGCUCAACUCAAACAGUCCUGUGACUCCUCACAAGGACUACCCUGGGCAAGAUUUUGCUAAAUUGAAACAUGACUGUACACAGCUCCUAAACUGGAGUGGUCAAUCCCAUCUUGACACACGCACCGAUAAGUCAAGUACUUGACUACACCCAGCAACCUUCCGUCACUAAAUUAAAAAUUUAGGUAGUCCAGUGCCUAAGUGCAGUGAGUUACUUGCAAGUCACCGUGGUGGUCUC
rnacentral:lncRNA from 1 species